rnacentral:snoRNA from 1 species
CCUCCCUGGCAAUAGGCAAGGAGGUACCUGAUUGGUGGUGUUGCUCUUAGAUCAGUCAGGAGCAAAGCAGACAUACACUGCUUAGUACAUCCUUGAUGCCUGUGUUGGUGGCCAGAACUGUUUCAUACCUGGGGCACAUAA